AGGAGGAACUCUUCAGGAGAGGAGACUUAACCAAGGAGCUUACCCGUCUGCUUCCAGCUCUGACCCUGAGCGAGACAGCCCCAUCUUCUUGUGCAGUGCCAGCCUUGUCCCGUAGACAAAAUGAUGAAGGUCAGUGUGAACUGAUUUGGCCGUAUUGGGUGCCUGGUUACCAGGACUGCCAUCUGCUCUCCACUUGGAAAGUGGAGAUUGUUGCCAUCAACGACCCCUCCAUUGACCUCAACUACAUGGUCUACAUGUUCCAGUAUGACUCCACCCAUGGCAAAUUCAAUGACACAGUCAAGACUGAGAAUGGGAAGCUUGUCAUCAACGAGAAGCCCAUCACCAUCUUCCAGGAGUGAGACCCCGCUAACAUCAAAUGGGGUGGUGCUGGUGCUGGUGCUGAGUAUGUUGUGGAAUCUACUGGCAUCUUCACCAUCUUGGAGAAGGCCAGGGCUCACUUGAAUGGUGGAUCCAAAAGGGUCAUCAUCUCGGCCCCUUCUGUGGAUGCCCCCAUGUUUGUGAUGGGUGUGAACCACGAGAAGUAUGACAAUUCACUCAAGAUUGUCAGUAAUGCAUCCUGCACCACCAACUGCUUAGAUUCCCUGGCCAAGGUCAUCCAUGACAACUUUAGCAUUGUGGAAGGGCUCAUGACCAUGGUCCAUGCCAUCACUGCCACUCAGAAGACUGUGGAUGGUCCCUCUAGAAAGCUGUGGUGUGAUGGCUGCCCAGAACAUCUUGUCCAGCACUGCAUCCACUAGUGCUGCCAAGGCUGUGGGCAAGGUCAUUCCAGAGCUGAACAGGAAGCUCUCUGGCAUAGCCUUCUGUGUUCCUACCCCAAAUGUAUCCACUGUGGAUCUGACAUGCCGCCUGGAGAAACCUGCCAAGUAUGAUGACAUCAAAAAGGUGGUGAAGCAGGCAUCUGAGGACCCACUGAAGGGCAUCCUGGUCUACACUGAGGACCAAGUUGUCUCCUGUGACUUCACCAUUCUUCCACCUUUGAUGCUGGGACUGGCAUUGCUCUCAAUGGCAAUGUUGUCAAGCUCAUUUCCUGGUAUGACAAUGAAUAUGACUACAGCAACAGGGUGGUGGACCUCAUGGCCUACAUGGCCUCCAAGGAGUAAGAAACCGUGGACCACCCACCCCAGCAAGGACACUGAGAGCAAGAGAGAGGCGCUCGUUUGCUGAGGGGUCCCUAUCCCAACAUGGCCCCCCUACACUGAGCAUCUCCCUCACAAUUUCCAUCCCAGACCCCCCAUAAUAACAGAAGGGGCCUAGGGAGCCCUCCCUACUCUCUUGAAUGCCAUCAAUAAAGUUCACUGCACCCC